UCCAGACUCCUACGGGAGGCAGCAGUGGGGAAUAUUGCACAAUGGGGGAAACCCUGAUGCAGCGACGCCGCGUGAAGGAUGAAGUAUUUCGGUAUGUAAACUUCUAUCAGCAGGGAAGAAAAUGACGGUACCUGACUAAGAAGCCCCGGCUAACUACGUGCCAGCAGCCGCGGUAAUACGUAGGGGGCAAGCGUUAUCCGGAUUUACUGGGUGUAAAGGGAGCGUAGACGGCAAUGCAAGUCCGAUGUGAAAACCCAGGGCUCAACCGUGGGAGUGCAUUGGAAGCUGAAUGGCUGGAGUGCAGGAGAGGUAAGCGGAAUUCUUGGUGUAGCGGUGAAAU
rnacentral:rRNA from 1 species